ensembl:lncRNA
AUACUGUUGUAUUCAGGAGAAGCUGGAGUGCUACCAGACCUCUGAGGAAAGUCUCGAAGUUGAGCGUCGCCGUAUGAAGGAGACCUGUGAGGCCACGGAAGCUCGAGCUGCCAAGCUGGAACUCACACGCUGGGGGUUGGGGGGAGAGCUGCAGCAUGCCCAGCUCUGAGCCACAGAGAUGGAGUCAGAGGUCAGCUCACUGCAGGAACGCCUUAACAAACUCCGCAGAGAACUGAGAGACAGUGAAGAGCGUGCUUCCCUCCUGAAGGUUGAGGGUGAGAGGUUGGCAACUGCCUUGGCACACACAGAACUGCAGGAGAGCCAGUUGAGGGAGCAACUGCAGGCCAUGGCUGCAUCCCUGACUGAAAGCAAUGCUGCUGCAGGAACAGCACAGGAUCAGGCUGCUCAGCUGCAGCAAGUUCUCACAGCCAGCGAACAUGACUGGAAGAUGCUGCAGGAAAGGUUGGAUAAGACAUGGGAGGCUCUGACUUAAACAGUAGGAAGCAAAAUCAUGGGUUGAGUGAGAGACUACAGAUCCUGCAGAGAAGCCAGGAAGAGUCUGAACUCAGGGUCUCUGAACUGGAUAAACAGAAACGAGGCCUUCAGGAGGUUAUGCACACACACAUACUCUUAAAAUUUACACAAUGUUUUGAAGGGUUAGUUUGCCUAAAAUAAAAAUUCUGUUAUCAUUUACUCA